rnacentral:lncRNA from 10 species
AAUCUAAUUCAAAUUCCUGGUCUGUUUCAUUUGUUUCAUGAUUUAGCUUUAUGUGUUUGACCCUGGAUUUUGAAACAAUUUCUGCUAUUUCCAAAUUAGCUCAGUAGAGAAGGCAUAAAUUCCUUCCCUUGACUCCUGGACUAUGCAUAACUGCAAAGGCGAUCUUAUACCCUUAACACCUACUAAAGGAAGGCCCAAAUCAAAUACCUAUUACUGCAACAAAAGUGUUUUAAAAUGUAUACUUUAAACACUUUUCUACUUGAGAAUGACUAAAGUACUAGGUAGACCUGGAUCCCAGUAAAAUAUAUGAGUUCACUAUUAUGUCCAAAUGAAGGAGGAAAAGAGCUGAAAUACAUAAAGAAAAUCCACCUCCUUCUUUGGAAGAGAUAUUUGGGCUUUACCAAGAGAAUGUCCAAACUACUGAGAUUCCUUUCUUCCUCACAAGUUGUUCCUUAUUAUGAAAGCUUUCUCAUUUUUAUCUUCUUAGUUGGGCUCAUAUGAUUUUUUUCUCUUCACUUCAUGUUUGCCUUCUCCCUGCUAAAUCAUUUCCAUCAUUAUAAAAAGCAUGAUCUAUUAUCUGCUAUUUUCUAUGUCUCUUUUUACUUCACAUUUUCUUGUAGCUACUGUGUCAUUUCUCUGUCCUCUUUGACAGCAAAACCAAUCAAAGCAUGUAUCUGUUUUCCCUUAUCCGAACAGCCUCAACAUUCAUCCAUUUCUCUCCUCUCCAAUUGGACCUCUAUGCUCACAGAUGCAUGGAAUUGUUCUUGGAAAGGUAACCAAUAACCUAU